GCGGGUUUAGCUCAGUUGGGAGAGCGUCAGACUGAAGUUUAACUUCAAUCCAUCUAUCUGAAGGUCAUGUGUUCGAUCCACAUAAACCGCA